rnacentral:rRNA from 1 species
GACGAACGCUGGCGGCGUGCUUAACACAUGCAAGUCGAACGAAGUGGCGAACGGGUGAGUAACGCGUAAUCAACCUGCCCUUCAGAGGGGGACAACAGUUGGAAACGACUGCUAAUACCGCAUACUGAAGGAGGGGAUUGCGUCUGAUUAGCUAGUUGGAGGGGUAACGGCCCAACAAGGCGAUGAUCAGUAGCCGGUCUGAUAGGGUGGGCGGUCACACUGGGACUGAGAUACGGCACAGACUCCUACGGGAGGCAGCAGUGGGGGAUGUUGCACAAUGGGCGCAAGCCUGAUGCAGCGACGCCGCGUGAGGGAGGAAGGCCUUCGGGUUGUAAACCUCUUUCGCUGGGUUGUUUGAACUGGUAAAGAAGUACCGGCUAACUACGUGCCAGCAGCCGCGGUAAUAC